CAGGUUUUUAAAUGGUUAGCUGUGGGGAGCCUUGUGAAGAUGUACUCUGGAAUGAUCUUACACCUCAUGUGGCCAUUUAAUAAAACACAUCCUGCCCACAAUUGAGAAAGCAACAUGAAAUCUUUAUUGCAAGCUGAAUUCGGUGAUGCACUCUUGAGUCCUUACCAGCAGUGAAUGGCACUUCCUUUUGCUACCCAUUUUCUUCAAGGAUGGAUUUGGCAAUGCUCUGGAUUUUCACCAUUUUAGUUAGCAAUUCUAAUCAUCUGGAAAGAGAUCAAAUAACAGAGAAAUGAAUAAAUUUUCAAAAGAGGAAACUUAUAGUCAUGAAAUAAUGGAUAAUUCAUGAGUUAACAUCUUAUUUUUAAAUCUAGAGGAAGAUCAAUUUAAAUUCUCCCAAAUAAUAUUUAAGGUCUUAUGAACAACAACAUGUAGAAGAGCUGAGGUCAUGAUAGAUGAGGAGACUGUAUACAAAUGGGCUGGACCGGAAUGGAAAACAGCAGUACUUCACCUGUAUUAAAGGCAAGAUUGUCUCACACAUCAUUCGGCUCUCAGCAUGGAAAUAUCUGAGGAAGUACCAGGAGGAUGAUUUGCCUUCUCCAGGAAAGAAUGAAUAGAAGCUUAAGGGCCAGUGACAAGCUGCAUGCUAGGAGAACCCAAGGUGUGACAAACCCUGUCAACCACGUGACACACUACUUCAGGGCUGUCAGCUCACCUUCAAUGCACUAUUAAAGGAUUAAACACAUCAAAUCCUCAUGCAAAUUCCAGCUGUGUACCAAAACCCAGAAGAAAGACCCAGAAACAUUAUGGUAAAUGGUACUCAUUGAAGAAGUUAACUGCUACAAGUUUUCUUACCUUUUUUCUUCUUAAAUUCUUGUUUAGCCUCCUUGAAAAAUAAAUACAUUUGCAGAGUUGAGUUUUGAUAUAUUUCCCUAUGCAAUUUGUAGCCUACUUUGACAAGCUGUCUUUAGGUUGUGCUGGGAUGCUCUAAGAAAUUCAGCUGAAUGCAUUUAGAAUCAGCUUAGAAACCUGUUGAGCCUUGUCUGAUUGUACACCAGCAUGAUUUGUCUCAUCCUUGUAAAUCCAAG
ensembl:lncRNA